UGAAUCAAUAGAGAGAUGCAGAAAACUAG
rnacentral:piRNA from 1 species